CAGGUAGGUGGUCUGUUAAGUCUUCUGUGAAAAUCCGGGGCUCAACCCCGUGAAAUGCAGGUGAAACUGGCAGACUUGAGACCGGUAGAGGCUAGCGGAAUUCCUGGUGUAGCGGUGGAAUGCGUAGAUAUCAGGAAGAACACCUGUGGCGAAGGCGGCUAGCUGGGCCGGUUCUGACACUAAACUGCGAAAGCGUGGGGAGCAAACA
rnacentral:rRNA from 1 species